rnacentral:rRNA from 1 species
UUAAGCUAAGAAGAGCGUAGGGAGAAUGCCUUGGCAUUAGGAGCCGACGAAGGACGUGAUAAGCUGCGAUAAGCUGCGGGGAUCAGCAAGUAUGAAUUGAUCCGCAGAUUUCCGAAUGGAGCAAUCCGUAUGUGUAUGCACAUACAUCAUAUACUGAAUCAAAUAGGUAUAUGAGGGGAACCGCCUGAACUGAAACAUCUAAGUAGGGCGAGGAAGAGAAAUCAACCGAGAUUCUGUGAGUAGUGGCGAGCGAAAGCGGAAGAGGCUAAACCAUAGGUAGCAAUACUUAUGGGGUUUCGGACAGCAUUUAGUAUUGAUAAUUUCUAGUUGAAACGUGUGGGAAAACGUACCGAAGAGUGUGAGAGUCACGUAAGCGAAAGAGAGAAUCAGCGAGCUGUAUCCAAAGUACCGCGGGACACGUGAAACCCCGUGGGAAGAUGGGGGGACCAUCCUCCAAGCCUAAAUACUACCUAAUGACCGAUAGCGAAUAGUACUGUGAAGGAACGGUGAAAAGAACCCCGGGAGGGGAGUGAAAAAGAACCUGAAACCCUAUGCUUACAAGCACCGAGAGCACGUCAAAGUGUGAUCGGGUACCUUUUGUAGAAUGGUCCGGCGAGUUAUUGUAUGCGGCAAGGUUAAGUGCUUAAGGCACGGAGCCGAAGCGAGAGCAAGUCUGAAUAGGGCGAAAAAGUCGUAUGCAAUAGACCCGAAACCGAGUGACCUAUCCAUGUCCAGGCUGAAGUGGAGGUAAAACUCCAUGGAGGGCCGAACACACGUCCGUUGAAAAGGCCGGUGAUGAGGUGUGGAUAGCGGAGAAAUUCCAAUCGAACUCGGAUAUAGCUGGUUCUCUCCGAAAUAGCUUUAGGGCUAGCCUCGUGAAAGAUUACUGGAGGUAAAGCACUGAAUGGGCUAGGGGUCGAAAGAUUACUGAACCCUAUCAAACUAAGAAUGCCAGAUAAUUGAUUCACGGGAGUCAGACAAUGUGAGAUAAGUCUCAUUGUCAAAAGGGAAACAGCCCAGACCCACAGCUAAGGUCCCUAAACAUUGUUAAGUGGAAAAGGAUGUGGGGUUGCAUAAACAACCAGGAUGUUGGCUUAGAAGCAGCCACUCAUUAAAAGAGUGCGUAAUAGCUCACUGGUCGAGUGACCCUGCGCCGAAAAUUCAACGGGGCUAAACAAUGUACCGAAGCUUGGGAUUCUAAAGUAAUUUAGAGUGGUAGGAGAGCGUCGAAUAAGGGGUGAAGUCAGAGCGGAAGCGCUGGUGGACUUUAUUCGAGUGAGAAUGCCGGAAUGAGUAGCGAGAAUUAUGUGAGAAUCAUAAUGGCCGAAAAUCUAAGGUUUCCUGAGGAAGGUUCGUCCGCUCAGGGUAAGCCGGGGGCUAAGGCGAGGCGGAGACGCGUAGCCGAUGCACAUACGGUUGAAAUUCCGUAGCCACCGAAAGAUUUAAGUACAGGGACGCUUUAGAAGUGAUGUUGCCGGGCGAUGGUUGACCCGGUCGUAAGGGAUCGAAAAUGAGUAGAGAAGUCAUCAUGGAAAGAGACAAGAAAAGCUGUAUGGAUAUCUUAGGUGCCCGUACCGCAAACCGACACAGGUAGAUAGGAAGAAGAUUCUAAGGCCAACGGGAGAAGGGUUGUUAAGGAACUCGGCAAGUUGACCCCGUAACUUCGGAAUAAGGGGUGCUCACGAGAGUGAGCCGCAGAGAAUAGGCCCAGGCAACUGUUUACCAAAAACACAGGUUUGUGCUAAAUCGAAAGAUGACGUAUACGA